CGAAGGGUGCAAGCGUUAAUCGGAAUUACUGGGCGUAAAGGGUGCGUAGGCGGUUGUUUAAGUCUGUCGUGAAAUCCCCGGGCUCAACCUGGGAAUGGCGAUGGAUACUGGGCAGCUAGAGUGUGUCAGAGGAUGGUGGAAUUCCCGGUGUAGCGGUGAAAUGCGUAGAGAUCGGGAGGAACAUCAGUGGCGAAGGCGGCCAUCUGGGACAACACUGACGCUGAAGCACGAAAGCGUGGGGAGCAAACAGGAUUAGAUACCCUGGUAGUCCACGCCCUAAACGAUGCGAACUGGAUGUUGGUCUCAGCUCGGAGAUCAGUGUCGAAGCUAACGCGUUAAGUUCGCCGCCUGGGGAGUACGGUCGCAAGACUG
rnacentral:rRNA from 1 species